rnacentral:pre_miRNA from 1 species
AGAACACACAUUGAUUAUCCCCAAGGCCAUGGGAUAAAAAAAAACUUUGCAAAACUAAGUUAGCACACCUUAGAAUGGUUCUAACACGAUUACUAACCUAUGCCUCUAUACUAGUUGAUGGGAAAAACCU